rnacentral:rRNA from 1 species
CGCAGCCUGAUGGAGCGACACCGCGUGAGUGAAGAAGGGUUUCGGCUCGUAAAGCUCUGUUGUUGAAGAAGAACGUGCGUGAGAGUAACUGUUCAUGCAGUGACGGUAUUCAACCAGAAAGUCACGGCUAACUACGUGCCAGCAGCCGCGGUAAUACGUAGGUGGCAAGCGUUAUCCGGAUUUAUUGGGCGUAAAGCGAGCGCAGGCGGUUUGCUAAGUCUGAUGUGAAAGCCUUCGGCUUAACCGAAGAAGUGCAUCGGAAACUGGCUAACUUGAGUGCAGAAGAGGACAGUGGAACUCCAUGUGUAGCGGUGAAAUC